AUUAAAACGAUGACAGGAACUAGUAAUAAGUCUUGCUUUCUAAAGAGAGCCGGUGGUAGGUGUGAAUCGGUGGAAGAAGCUUAUGAAUCCAUCCUGGAGUAAAGUAUGGAACCCCGAUAAUUUGGGUAGUAAUUACUUUCGGCUUAUGCCGUUAUCUUACGAGUGGAAGGUACAAUUGUGUCUUCAACUAGGGUGGCAACGCGGGUUAACUCUCGUCCCUUUU
rnacentral:ncRNA from 1 species